UAGUCCACGCCGUAAACGAUGGAUACUAGCUGUCCGCUGCCUUGAGCAGUGGGCGGCCAAGCGAAGGUGAUAAGUAUCCCACCUGGGGAGUACGUUCGCAAGAAUGAAACUCAAAGGAAUUGACGGGGGCCCGCACAAGCGGUGGAGCAUGUGGUUUAAUUCGAUGAUACGCGAGGAACCUUACCAGGGCUUAAAUGUGGUCUGACAGCUUUAGAGAUAGAGUUUUCUUCGGACAGAUCGCAAGGUGCUGCAUGGUUGUCGUCAGCUCGUGCCGUGAGGUGUCAGGUUAAGUCCUAUAACGAGCGCAACCCCUGCCGUCAGUUGCCAUCAAGUAAAGUUGGGGACUCUGACGGGACUGCCGGUGCAAACCGUGAGGAAGGUGGGGACGACGUCAAAUCAUCACGGCCCUUACGUCCUGGGCUACACACGUGCUACAAUGGCCGGUACAGAGAGCAGCCACUCCGCAAGGGGGCGCGAAUCUACAAAACCGGUCACAGUUCGGAUCGGGGU
rnacentral:rRNA from 1 species